GAUCAUGGCUCGGGAUGAACGCUGGCGGCGUGCUUAACACAUGCAAGUCGAACGGAGUUUUAAACGGAAGUUUUCGGAUGGAAGUUUAGAAACUUAGUGGCGGACGGGUGAGUAACGCGUGGGUAACCUGCCUCAUACAGGGGGAUAACAGUUAGAAAUGACUGCUAACACCGCAUAAUAUAGCGAAACCGCAUGAUUUUGCUAUCAAAUAUUUAUAGGUAUGAGAUGGGCCCGCGUCUGAUUAGCUAGUUGGUGGGGUAAAAGCCUACCAAGGCGACGAUCAGUAGCCGGCUUGAGAGAGUGACCGGCCACAUUGGGACUGAGACACGGCCCAAACUCCUACGGGAGGCAGCAGUGGGGAAUAUUGGACAAUGGGGGAAACCCUGAUCCAGCCGACGCCGCGUGAGUGAAGAAGUAUUUCGGUAUGUAAAGCUCUAUCAGCAGGGAAGAUAAUGACAGUACCUGACUAAGAAGCCCCGGCUAACUACGUGCCAGCCGCCGC
rnacentral:rRNA from 1 species